GCACUGGUGGUUUAGUGGUAAAAUCUAAGUUUCCCAUACUUAGGCCCCGGGUUCGAUUCCCGGCCAGUGCA
rfam:Hanseniaspora osmophila strain AWRI3579 Hanseniaspora_osmophila_AWRI3579_scaffold6, whole genome shotgun sequence.